UUCUAAUUUUUUAGUUUCUUCUUCAACAUAUUUUAUGGUUCCAUUUGAUUCUGCUAGUGCUAAUUUUAAUGUUUCGUUUUCUGUUUCUAAAUUGGCUAUAGUAAGUUUUAAUUUUUUGGACCAGUGGAUUGGUUUUUUUGACAUCUUUAAGGUAUUACUGUUGUUUGUAUUACUGUUGUAUUACUGUAAAAAUAUUAAUAUGUUGACAAAUUUAUUAAUUGAUCUAUAAUUGUUGAUGAUAUUAGUUGUUCCGACUAUGCAAAUGUAUUCUGCAGUCCUCGUUCCGCAUUUUAUGCUCGUCGCAGGGUGUUUUCCAUAAUAUACUAUGCAUACUACUGUGCACAAAGGAUGCUUUGAUUUAAUUUAUUAAAAUACUAACAGUUGUAUUUUUUGUCCAUGUUCAAUUACCUGUCAAUGUUGCUAACUUAAAUAUAGUCUUUUGCUGUAGGUUGGUAUCGAUUCCUGUUGAUUCUGGGGAACACCGUUUUCAGUACUUCAAACUACGUUGAUGUUUUCUAGCAGCAUGGGAGAACUUUUUAUAUAGUUGUUUUGGAACAGUGACACUAAUACCUGCAGAAACUGUGCACAGCUUUUUGGAAUUGUUAUUAUGGCAUAAAAUUUCAUCUCAUCAUCUGAGAGUUACGAUUCAAGGUGACAAAAUAAUUGUUUUAUUAUGUUGAUUAUAAAAGAAAUAGGUGGUGAGCUCACUAUAUAUAUUAGUGAACUACUCUGAUGAACUACAUGAUGAAUGAUACAAUACAGGUGCUGGCAUGCUAUCCAUGGUAAACUCAGGUCUAAACACUAAUAGAGGAUCCAUGGGUUCCCGCUUUACAGUACCAGUUUUUCCACCUUUACCAGAUUUCUUGUGUGCUUAAUUGUGAUUUUCAGAUUAUAUUGUUAUUAGUUGAUAAUUUUAUACAUAUAUAUAUAUUACUUUUUAGAUAUUCCUCAGUAAAUGAUGAUGUCAUCAAUUCAUUGAGGAAUCUAUACAAUGUAUAUCCAGAAUUUUUCAGGGUAUCUAACGUCCAAUCUUCUGGUUUAAUGUUUUGCACUUUUGUUUCCAGAAGAGUUUUUAUUGUAGCUGGUAUUUUAAAUGUUGCUACGUCUGGAAACUUCUAAACAAACAAAAUUAAUAUAAGUAUUUUAUGAAAUGUGAAUUGUUUUAAAGUUGUGUAAUAAGUUAAUAUAUAUUUCUGGUUCAAUUCUAUUCAACGACUGGCGGUGAAAUAGGACCGAAACGGAUUAGGACUGGAGAAAUAGGACUGGAUAUUUUCAGUCCUAUUUCUCCUGUAGAAAUAGGACUGGGAGAAAUAGGACAACUUUUUAAACACAUUUUAAACAGUCCUAUUUCUCCUUGGAUAUAAGGCUAUUUCGCUUGCCUUUAUCUUACAUAUUUAAGGACAAUGAGCCUCCAA